GUCUGGGUGGCUCAGUCAGCUGAGCGUCUGACUUCGGCUCAGGUCAUGAUCUCACUGCUUGUGGGUUCGAGCCCCGCAUCAGGCU
rnacentral:tRNA from 1 species